UCAUGUCUCCCAAUCACGUACCCACCAUUUUGUCCAUAUACCACACAAGACAUGCAUCUUUUUCUAUCUAUCUACCUAGUAACCCUAUAUUGUCUCCAAGAUUUUGCUUUCUCUGCAAUUCUUGUUACACCUUUCGUGCAUGGGAUUUACGCACAGCAGCUGCCCUUUUCCACUUUUUCUUUAAUUCCCUUUAUUGGACAAAUGAUGGGAAAUUAAACCUUCAGCAGCAGUACCACAUAGUAGCUAGUAAUUAAAACGGAACUUAAACAAGCAAGGAAAUGGCGUACCGUCGCUAUUCCUUUAAUGGAGUUGGAAGCUCAAGAGAAACCCAUGAGUUUCAUUAAUGGAGUUUGAAUCUGUGAAGGGAGGAGAUAUAAUACCCUUUUGUGGAGCCAUGUAGCUUUUGCAAUAAAUGUGUUGAUGUAAUCAUGUGUUGUUAACAUCUUUAUUAUAUAUGAUUUGUAUUUUUCUUUGCUACACUAGCCUUUAUUAUACUACUUAACCAUUUCUCAA